AGCGAACGCUGGCGGCAGGCCUAACACAUGCAAGUCGAACGAACCUUUCGGGGUUAGUGGCGGACGGGUGAGUAACACGUGGGAACGUGCCUUUAGGUUCGGAAUAACUCAGGGAAACUUGUGCUAAUACCGAAUGUGCCCUUCGGGGGAAAGAUUUAUCGCCUUUAGAGCGGCCCGCGUCUGAUUAGCUAGUUGGUUGAGGUAAUGGCUCACCAAGGCGACGAUCAGUAGCUGGUCUGAGAGGAUGAUCAGCCACAUUGGGACUGAGACACGGCCCAAACUCCUACGGGAGGCAGCAGUGGGGAAUCUUGCGCAAUGGGCGAAAGCCUGACGCAGCCAUGCCGCGUGAAUGAUGAAGGUCUUAGGAUUGUAAAAUUCUUUCACCGGGGACGAUAAUGACGGUACCCGGAGAAGAAGCCCCGGCUAACUCCGUG
rnacentral:rRNA from 1 species